CUGUUCAUGAUGUCUCAAACCAUAAUCACAAACACCAUAGAUCUAUUUGAAGAAAAAAUACUUUGCUAGAAAAUCUAACAAAGAACCUCACUGAUCUUUUCAACAACUUCUAGCAUCUUUUUCCUUUUCCAUGCUACAACCUGACUCUGAUACCAAUUAUUGUGCACACGCACCCCAAGAUGUAGGACAAGGAAUACACUAGCAACACACAAAGAGGGAUAUCUAUGAGAAUCCCUCCAUGAAUAUGGCGGCUAGGGUUUUGGCGUGCACAG
rnacentral:lncRNA from 1 species